AGCGUAGGCGGCGCGGUAAGUCAGAUGUGAAAUCCCGGGGCUCAACCCCGGAACUGCAUCCGAUACUGCCGUGCUAGAGGAUUGGAGAGGUAGCUGGAAUUCUUGGUGUAGCAGUGAAAUGCGUGGAGAUCAAGAGGAACACUCGUGGCGAAAGCGAGCUACUGGACAAUAUCUGACGCUGAGGCUCGAAGGCCAGGGUAGCGAAAG
rnacentral:rRNA from 1 species